ACAUCGAUAACUCAAUGGCAGAGCGGUAGGACGGUACCUUACACGUCCCGAGUUCGAUUCCCGAUCGAUGCU